rnacentral:tRNA from 1 species
UCCCUGGUGGCUCAGAGGAUGACGCGUCUGCCUGCAAUGCAGGAGACCCAGGUUCAAUCCCUGGGUUGGGAA